rnacentral:rRNA from 1 species
CCUACGGGCGUCAGCAGUGAGGAAUAUUGGUCAAUGGACGAGAGGCUGAACCAGCCAAGUAGCGUGAAGGAUGACGGCCCUAUGGGUUGUAAACUUCUUUUAUAUGGGAGUAAAGUGUUCCACGUGUGGGGUUUUGUGUGUACCCGAUGAAUAAGGAUCGGCUAACUCCGUGCCAGCAGCCGCGGUAAUACGGAGGAUCCGAGCGUUAUCCGGAUUUAUUGGGGUUAAAGGGAGCGUAGGUGGAUUGUUAAGUCAGUUGUGAAAGUUUGCGGCUCAACCGUAAAAUUGCAGUUGAAACUGGGAGUCUUGAGUACAGUAGAGGUGGGCGGAAUUCGUGGUGUAGCGGUGAAAUGCAUAGAUAUCACGAAGAACUCCGAUUGCGAAGGCAGCUCACUGGCCUGCAACUGACACUGAGGCUCGAAAGUGUGGGUAUCAAACAGGAUUAGAUACCCGAGUAGUC